GUUUCAGCAGCCGCGGUAAUACAGGGGGUGCAAACGUUGCUCGGAAUUAUUGGGCGUAAAGCGCGCGUAGGCGGCCACUUAAGUCGGAUGUGAAAGCCCCUGGCUCAACUGGGGAAGUGCACCCGAAACUGAAUGGCUUGAAUGCAAAAGAGGGUCGCGGAAUUCCCGGUGUAGAGGUGAAAUUCGUAGAUAUCGGGAGGAACACCGGUGGCGAAGGCGGCGACCUGGGUUGACAUUGACGCUGAGGCGCGAAAGCGUGGGGAGCAAACAGGAUUAGAAACCCGUGUAGUCC
rnacentral:rRNA from 1 species